GGUAUACCUAUUUUUCUCUCCUCAAAUUCCAGUUGGUGCUUUGCUCAGACGCAAUAUUUCUCCGCGGCAGGCAGCUGCGAUCGGGAUCUCAACACUUUCAUCCCACAGUUCAUCAACAAUGCCCUUUAGGGAAGCCGUGGAGUUGGAGGUGGAGCCUCCGAGCGUAGGUCGGUAUUUGAUCGGAGCGGCGAUAAUGAUGCUUGGAGUGGUGUUGCUUGUUGGCUACAUGAUGUUUCGUAACAAAAGAGUUCCUUCCUCUUCCUCCUACUCCAAACAGACGAACAAGGUUUUGAUAUAGAGGUGUGUUUUGGAUGCCUGGAAUUAAUGUUUAGUCACGGGCAAGGUGGUACAGUUUGAAGGAAAGGUGGAGAAUGGAUUUUGAUUUUUGGUAACACUGCAAAUUGCCUGUACAUGUUAGAAAGUAUACUGGUUUUGACAUAUUGAGCUGUUAGUUUUGACACCUGCCAUAUUUUAUGGUCAAUUUGCGGUUUGUGAAGAUGUAUGGUUCGACUGCAUUCAUCCUAAUUUGUGGACAGAUUAUCCAAAAUAUCACUUGACGUUUUUCUA